rnacentral:lncRNA from 1 species
CUGGCACAGACACAAAAAUUAAAUUCUAACUAGCUAUAGGAACACAAUAACAGUCUUUUAAAUCUAAUCUAAUACCAGAUGGUAAUCGAAGAGGAUAAGUGCCAAUCGCCUUUACAGCAACCUUUGCUCCAUUACCGAUCCGAAGGAUCAUGUCACCUUCCCUCAACCUCCUACUUUUUAUCAGAUCUGGCAUAGAGAUACAUAUAUG